GCCUCGCGUUGCCAUAGCAACGGAGUUUUCCGCCCCUCCCCCCAAUUUCAUCUUUAAAAAUUCGCCCUAAAAAUAUCACAGAUGCUCAGCUUUUCGAGCGUUAGAGACUAACAACGAAAAAAUAAUUCCCCAGCCACACUUCUUUCCCCAGAAGCAACCACAUUCAGCUUGUGCAAGCUGUGCAGUUUGACAGGAAAUGCACUUGAAUGGGCAGAUCCCAAGUCUGGGAUGAGAAGAGUCUCAAUGAGAAGCUGAGAGGCCUGCACAAUAUUAAAAAGAGCCCACUCUGCUCUGUUCGCUAGAAGCCUGAGCUGCAUGGAAUGCCAAGAGACCAGGCUGGCUGUGGCUCCAGUCCCUACUAAAGCUUUUCUGACGGCUCCUAUCAGGCAACCUUCUCCCCUCCACAUCUGAUCUCAGGUACCUGUGUUCCAGCCACACUGGCCUCCUCCUGGCUGUUUCUGAAGACACUAAGCAUGCUCCUACUUCAGGGCAUUUGCAAACUUUGUCCGAUCUGAAACAUUCUUCUCCAGAUACUCUUGCUUCCUCACUUACUAUUGGGCACUUUCCUGAGCAUCUUUUAUA